rnacentral:rRNA from 1 species
UACGUAGGGUGCGAGCGUUAAUCGGAAUUACUGGGCGUAAAGCGUGCGCAGGCGGUUCGUUGUGUCGGCGGUGAAAGCCCCGGGCUUAACCUGGGAAUGGCCGUUGAAACUGGCGAACUGGAGUGUGGCAGAGGGGGGUGGAAUUCCGCGUGUAGCAGUGAAAUGCGUAGAUAUGUGGAGGAACACCGAUGGCGAAGGCAGCCCCCUGGGUCAAAACUGACGCUCAUGCACGAAAGCGUGGGGAGCAAACAGG